UUUUAAAGGCAGUGCUUUAAUGCCUUUCUAGUUGCCGGGUUAAUCCUUCCUUCCGCGAUAUCCAACUUAUCUACGUGGGGGGUCAUUAGACUCCAAGUAGAUCCGGAAAUGUUGAAUUCUCUCCUCUUCUUAUUGCGAUAUAAAAUGUUUUUUGUUUCAUUUCAUUUACAUUGGGAAAUAGAGAAACGAUCAUUGUGUUUUGUUAGUUUUAAAAACUUUUGAUAUAUUAGUAUUUUGCAUUAUAAGCAGUCAACCGAUUGACAAACUAGAAUUAUUUGAAUUCCGUGUGGAAAGAGCUCGGGUUAAUUUCGAGUGUUAUCUGCAAUCUAGAUGUUUAUAAAUCAUUUCAGUCGUUGAUAUAAUAAUUAAAGGUCGACUGAACAUGAAUUAUAUUAUACAAUUUAAAGCGCAUUUCUGUUUAUGCAAGUGAACCCUUCUAACGUUAUUUUCGCAGUUAUAUAAAGUAGCAAAUUAUCGUUCCUGAAUAGGUGGCGCCGUGGUAGCGGAUCCUGUUCCUCUUCUUCCGGUUUCUGCACUGUGCAACUAUUUCAGUUAUAUUUUUAAUUAACGAUGCCAAGUACUUGUUGUUGUGUACCUGGAUGUCAUUUAAGAGGAGGACAUGCAUUUCCAAAUGACUUAAAAAGAAGGAAAAGUUGGAUCAACGCCAUGGCCCAUACGCAGAUUGGACGGGAACACGAUGAUAUCGUGGAGUCCAUCUCAAUCAGCUGUUGUUUGCAAGGCACGUUUUACUGAAAAAGACUACGUGCAGGAAACUAUUCAUGGGUGCAAACCCACCAUACAGAGACUUAAGUCUACUGCAAUUCCCAGCCUAUUUUCCUGGACCAAGCAAGAGACUGAAUCGUCCGCAAAAAGAAAAAUCAGGGCAGUUUCCUGUGAAAACAAAAGAACUAAACUUGAUGAAUAUUGUAGUAGAAAUCUAGAGGAAAGUUUUGAUUGUAAAGUUGGUUUUCCUGAAGAAGUCAUUCAUACUGCAGAAAGGAUUUAUGACUGUCCACCACCAACUGCUGAGCUAAUGUUGAGCUUCACAGAUGGAAUUACGCAAACACCAUCAAUGCCUAUGUUUUCAGCAGAGAAUUUUGAAAUGAAGACACGUGACACAGCCAUGCAUUUUUAUACCGGUUUAGAGUUGUAUAGUAAAUUUUUAUUUGUUUUGACCACACUUGGUCCAGCAGCACAUUGUUUGAGAUACAUAUAUUUUCAAAUUGAUAGGGUGUCAGUUGAAAAUCAGUUUUUUUAUGACUUUGAUGAAAUUGAGGCAUCAUACAACCAACUUUGAACUGUCUAGAUUCUAGAUUGAAUCUACAUGUAGUGUUAAGAAUAUUGUGUAUACAUGGAUUGUUUUUAUGUCUAAACAGUGGUGUGAGGCUAACACUUGGCCAUCUAGUGGUUUAGUCAGGUAUUUUUCACCAUCCAACUUCAAAUUAAAGUUUCCUACGACUUGGAUUAUUAUUGACAGCAUAGAAUAUCCCGUGAUAAAACCUAAAGCUCCUAGAGCUCAGGCAACCUUUUCAUCAAAUAAAAACAGAAACACUGAAAAUUCUUGAAUGUUCGACACCUGGUGGUUUAGUCAACUAUGUCUCUAUGUCACAUAGAGCGAAUUAUUGGACUUGGCAAAACAUACAAAAUUCUAAUAAAUCCUAUGAAUGGAACUGAAACAAAACUUUCAUCUGAAAUAACAUUUAGUUGUUUUAUGUUGUGUAAUUUUAGAACUUGUAUUGUGCCAAAGGAUGCAUAAAUAAAAGUGACGCAAUGAAUUUUGUUCUGAUAUAUAUAUAUUUACAAUUACAUGCACAUGUAAUUUGUAAUGCAUAUAAAAAUAAGGAGAUGUGGUAUGAUAUUCAGUGAGUUUAUCAAACUAAAGUGCAUAAGAAAGGGGUUUAAGCAGUUACAGGUGUUACUGUCACCGUACAAUCUCCAACAAUGAGAAAAACUCGUACCCUGUAAAAAAUUUCAGAGAUCUUACAACUAAGUUUUGUUGUCUCACCUUGACUUUGGUGAAUUUUUUAUAUCUGUUGAUGUAAAUAUAAAAAAGAAGAUGUGGUAUGAUUGCCAAUGAGACAACUCUCCACACAUGCACAAGAGACCAAAUGACACAGAAAUUAACAGCUAUAGGUCACAGUACGGCCUUCAACAAUGAGCAAAGCCCAUACCGCACAGUCAGCUAUAAAAGGCCCAGAAAUGACAAUGUAAAACAAUUCAAACAAGAAAACUAACGGCCUAUUUUAUGUAAAAAAAUGAACAAAUAUAACAAAUAUGCAACACAUAAACAAACGACAACCACUGAAUUACACUUUUAUAGGCUCCUGACUUGGGACAGGCACAUACAUGUACAUACAGAAUGUGGCGGGCUUAAACAUGUUAGCCGGAUCCCAACCCUCCCCCUAACCUGGGACAGUGGUGUAACAGUACAAUAUAAGAAAGAACUAUAAAAAUCAGUUGAAAGAGGCUAAACUCAUCAGAUGGAUAAAUACAAAUACAAGUGGACGUGGUCGGGUAGUUGUACAUCCAAACAACAAAAAGACACUAAGUACAAAUCUGAGAGUACUCACAGUUACUGACAGCUAGUUCAAAGCCACUAACAACUGAUAAAAAAAUCUUGCAUCUAAGACUAAAUUAUCAAUCCGUAAGCUCCCUUUAGAAUUUUAUAAAUUUUAGAUUUUACAUUUCUGAGUUAUGGGGUUUUAUUCAUUAAAAAAGGGGGGGAUUUUCCAGUUUUUGGACAACAACUCAAAAAUGCUUUAAGCAGUUCACAUGAAACUUUGUUGAAUUAUUUAUAGCUAUUGAUGUAAUCUCCCUAUUGAUUUUCAUAAAUUUCAAAUAUGACAUUGAGAAGAAAUUGAACUUUAUUUGUUUAUAGUCUGGCAACAGAUUUAUUAAGUAUUGCACAACAGCACAGUGUAUUGCACAACAGCAAGAAAUCUUUAAUUGAAUAUAAAUUCAAUUCAUAUAACCGAUUUCAAGUUCAUUGACUACAUUUAUUCAGAAACUAUAAUAUGUCAAAUAUUUAAUUACAAUCCAAAUUCAGACCUGUAUCAAGCUUGAAUAUUGUGUUCAUUUUUGCCCCAGCUGUUCAGGGUAGUACCUCUGCGGGUGUAUCCAGCUGCGCUCAGCGAAUCAGUUUAUUUCUUAAUUAAGAACUCCUUUUUAUAUGACUGCAAACAAAUUUUGUGGUCGUAUAUUGGUAUGACGUUGGCGUCGUCGUCGUCCGGCGUCGUCAUCCGAAGACACGUUAGUUUUCGCACUCUAACUUUAGUUUAAGUGAAUGGAUCUCAAUGAAAUUUUAAAAUAAGGUUCAAUACCACAAAAGGAAAGUGGGGAUUGAUUUUGGGGGUUAUGGUACCAACAGUUAAGGAAUUAGGGGCCAAAAAUAAGCAUUUUUGUAACUUCCAGACAUAACUUGUGUGUAAGUGUAUGGAUCUCACAAGGUUCCAUAACACAAAGGGAAUGCUGGGAUUGAUUUUUGGGGGUAAUUGCCUCCAAAUUUUAGGAAUUAGGGGCCAAAAAGGGGCAAAAAACAAGCAUUUUUCUAGUUUCAUGACAAUAAAGAGUGUGCAAGUCUAUGGAUCUCUCUGACAUUGUAUCACAAGGUUCCAUAUCACAAAGGGAAUGCUGGGAUUGAAUUUGGGGGUAAUUGCCUCCAAAUUUUAGGAAUUAGGGGCCAAAAAGGGGCAAAAAACAAGCAUUUUUCUAGUUUCAUGGCAAUAACUUGUGUGUAAGUGUAUGGAUCUUUAUGAAAUUGUACUACAAGGUUCCAUUUCACAAAGGGAAAGCUGGAAUUGAGUUUGGGGGUAAUUGCCCAAAAAGUUUAGGAAUAAGGGGCCAAAAAUAAGCAUUUUUCUAGUUUCCAGACAAUAACUUGUGUUCAAGUGUAUGGAUCUCUCUGAAAUUGUACUGCAAGGUACCAUACCACAAAGGGAAUGCUGGGAUUGAUUUUGGGGGUAAUUGCCUCCAAAUUUUAGGAAUUAGGGGCAAAAAACAAGCAUUUUUCUAGUUUCAUGACAAUAACUUGUGUGUAAGUGUAUGGAUCUCUCUGACAUUGUAUCACAUGGUUCCAUAUCACAAAGGGAAUGCUGGGACUGAUUUUGGGGGUAAUUGCCUCCAAAUUUUAGGAAUUAGGGGCCAAAAAGGGGCAAAAAACAAGCAUUUUUCUAGUUUCAUGGCAAUAACUUGUGUGUAAGUGUAUGGAUCUUUAUGAAAUUGUACUACAAGGUUCCAUAUCACAAAGGGAAAGCUGGGUUUGAGUUUGGGG